rnacentral:rRNA from 1 species
AUUGAACGCUGGCGGCAGGCCUAACACAUGCAAGUCGAGCGAGCGGCGGACGGGUGAGUAAUGUCUGGGAACCUGCCCGUUGGAGGGGGAUAACUACUGGAAACGCUAGCUAAUACCGCAUACCAUCAGAUGUGCGCAGAUGGGAUUAGCUCGUGGGUGGGGUAACGGCUCACCUAGGCGACGAUCCCUAGCUGGUCUGAGAGGAUGACCAGCCACACUGGAACUGAGACACGGUCCAGACUCCUACGGGAGGCAGCAGUGGGGAAUAUUGCACAAUGGGCGCAAGCCUGAUGCAGCCAUGCCGCGUGUGGGAAGAAGGCCUUCGGGUUGUAAAGCACUUUAAGCGGGGAGGCGUUACCCGCAGAAGAAGCACCGGCUAACUCCGUGCCAGCAGCCGCGGUAAUUC